GCUUCCUUGCUUUGUUAAGCUGAUUCAAGAUGAAUGCGAGAAGAAAAAAGGCAUUAACUCGAAGCCCAAAGUGACAGGGGAAGUCCAAGAUGUUAGCUGUGACGAGGAGCUAACUCGACAGCUUCAGAACCAAUUGGAUUUAGAGGAUAUCUGUACCAGUGUCUUUUUGGCAACCGUUCUACUUUGAGAUAUAAUUCAAAAAUAUUGCUGUUGUACUACUGAUACUGAUACUUGCAGUAUGGAAAGGCAGGACAGGCAGUGGCAGAAAGAAAACUCAGAGAAGGGG
rnacentral:lncRNA from 1 species